rnacentral:lncRNA from 10 species
GCGAGACAAACCCCAGCCACAUCUCCAGCACCCAAGAGCUUCCAAACGCCUAAAGCGCAGUGGCCAGGCAUUCCUCCAGAACCGCCUCUCCCAGGAGCUUGCUACAAGUGACAGAAAUCUGGCCACCAGGCCAAGGAAUGCCUGCAGCCCGGGAUUCCUCCUGAGCCAUGUCCCAUCUGUGUGGGACCCCACUAGAAAUCGGACUGUUCAACUCACCUGGCAGCCACUCCCAGAGCCCCUGGAACUCCAGCCCAAGGCUCUCUGACUGACUCCUUCCCAGAUCUUCUUGGCUUAGCAGCUGCAGACCGACAGUGCCCGAUCGAUCACCUCGGAAGCCUACAGGACCAUCACAGACGCUCUACGUUACUCUCACAGUGGAACGUGAUCGAGUGUGGAUCAAGAACUGGAACGUAGCCUCUUUGUGUCCACUGUGGAAAGGACCCCAGACUGUCGUUCUGAGCACUCCCACCGCUGUGAAGGUAGAAGGAAUCCCAGCCUGGAUCCACCACAGCCAUGUAAAACCUGCAGCGCCUGAAACCUGGGAGGCAAGACCAAGCCCAGACAACCCCUGCAGAGUGACCCUGAAGAAGACGACAAGCCCUGCUCCAGUCACACCCGGAAGCUGACUGGUCCACGCACGGCCGAAGCCUGAGGAAGCUCAUCAUGAGAUUCAUUUUUCUUAAAUUUUGGACUUAUACAGUAAGGGCUUCAACUGAUCUUACUCAAACUGGGGACUGUUCCCAGUGUACUCAUCAGGUCACCGAAGUAGGACAGCAAAUUAAAACAAUCUUUCUGUUCUAUAGUUAUUAUGAAUGUAUGGAAACAAUAAAAGAAACUUGUUUGUAUAAUGCCACUCAGUACAAGGUAUGUAGCCCGAGAAAUGACCGACCUGAUGUGUGUUAUAACCCAUCUGAGCCCCCUGCACCACCGUUUUUGAAAUAAGAAUAAGAACUGGCCUUUUCCUAGGUGAUACAAGUAAAAUAAUAACUAGAACAGAAGAAAAAGAAAUCCCCAAGCAAAUAACUUUAAGAUUUGAUGCUUGUGCAGCCAUUAAUAGUAAAAAGCUAGAAAUAGGAUGUGGUUCUCUUAACUGAGAAAGGAGCUAAAGAGUAGAAAAUAAAUAUGUUUGUCAUGAGUCAGGGGUUUGUAAAAAUUGUGCCUAUUGGCCAUGUGUUAUUUCGGCUACUUAAAAAAAGAACAAAAAGGACCCGGUUUAUCUUCAGAAGGGGGAAGCCAACCCCUCCUGUGCUGCCGGUCACUGUAACCCACUAGAACUAAUAAUUACCAAUCCCCUAGGUCACCGUUGGAAAAAGGGAGAACGUGUAACCCUGGGGAUCAAUAGGACAGGGUUAAACCCUCAAGUUGCCAUUUUAAUUAGAGGGGAGGUCCACAAGUGCUCUCCCA